GCAUAUUUACGUCAGGGGGUUCUCAACCCUUCCACCAUCAGCCCUAGGGGUCUAACAAACAAAAAGGAAAUUACAUAAUGAAUAAAAACACAAAAUAAAACGACAAACACUACAAACAACCAUGACAAGGAAACUUGUUGUUAUUUUGCUCCCACACUUUACCCGCCCAUCCUUGACCCUUUGAUCCUAAUAAAUAUGAAACAUUUAGAGGGCCCCAAUCUCCACUAACACUUACCACUCAUUUACAUACAGGGUUGCCCAUAUUCGACGGACCCAUGUUUUUUUUGGGCCCAUUCCAAUCGACGAGGCUUGUCAGCAGGCAACAUUCUUUGCGUCAAUUGUACGGGAACAAAUGCAAAUCAAUGCGAAUAAUCCGUUGUAAAGUGGACCGAGCCAUGCCCAACUGCUGAGAACGGCGUUUUUGGGAUGUUCUUGGGUACAUCUCAACACUGGCUCGUACGGCAGCGAUAUUCUAGGCCGAUCUCCUUGGUCGACUUUUAUAUGGCCUCUUCGGAUUAGAAAGAGCCUUACCAGUCGAAAAUUUUUCGUAUAAACGCUUAAUGGUGUUCUUUGAAGGCGCACUUCUCACAUUUUUUAAUGUUUUAAAAGCACGUUGAGUUUUCACAAUUGACUUCUUCUGUUUAAUGUAAAUUUCAACUACUUCAGAGCGCUCGCGUGGCGUGUAUUGGUUCAUGGUAAAAAUCUGCUUAGACUGACGCUUCAAACGCGGUAUGUCAUUAAGCGAUGUGACAUCUCUGUCAAAAGUUAUGGCGUUGCCAGAUGGGUCCGUCGAAUAUGGGCAACCCUGUACACUCAUGGUCCCUCUCUCAAAAGUAAACACUUAACAUUUCAUUAUUACAAACAUAAAAGUAAACAUAAAAACAUUUUAUUUUCAUUAUCAUCUUAAUCCGAAACAUUAAAAUUUAAACAAAACAAAUUAUAUAAUUUUGAAUUCCUAACACUUGCGGACUUUGUGCGCCAUUAAUCAGGCAACCACCAAUAACUUCAAAGACUUCAAAUUUGCCAAAUUUGGCCGCUAACUCAAAUUUUCCCUUUAGAACUCUCUUAAAGGCCGAUACUGGACAUUACCUUUUUAGUCCAGUAAAAAACAAAAACAUUAAGAAUUCUCUUACGUACCAGACUAAUAUCUAAGGACGUUCACAAUUAAUUUAACAUAAAAUAAUUUAAAUUUGUCUUGUUUCUUUUGUUGUAGUUUGUGGUUUUAGUCUCUGUUGCGUAUAUUCUUUUGUAUAGUAAUUUGAAAUCAUAUUUUUCUUUUAAUUUCAGUACAGUUAAUUCUCGUCAAAGAAUCCUUUUUGGCGCUAAUUUUUCAUGACCAUUACAAGCAACCAAUUACGAAUAUCACGGCAAAGUCCACGGAAUAAAUUAGGUCCGGGCCAUAACGUUUACACAGGACAGAUUACAUGCAGUGCGGAACAAGACGUUUCACAAGGGCUCACAUACACAAAGUUUGGCCACUUCCUGAAUGCCGGCUCGUUAUCUUGAUGUGGGACUUGAAUGGGUUCUUCUAGACGUUAUCCCCAAAAAUGGUUGCUGACCGCCUCCAAAUAUAUAUAUGGAGGGGCCAGAAUCUUUUUGUUUGGUGACUCUCCUUGGCGAGAGCUAAACCAAAUACAUAUUGUACAAACAAAACCUUCAACAUAAAAUACCGUACUCACUUCUGUUUUUGUCACAUACCAACAUCAAUAAAAAUCAGUCUCACUAAACACAAUAAACAAUACAACAGACCAAUGCUUUUUAUGUAUUAAUUUGAAAACAAAAAGCUGUCGCACGGUAUAUUUUUUUAUUUUCACGCAACAAAACUUCACCAUUUCCUAAGGAAAUGAUGGAAAUGGUGAUGUGCGUGGCUUCUGAAAGAAAUUCCUCUCCGAAAACUAAGUGAUGGCCGAAAUUAGACAGGAUUAAAAUUGAUGCAGGUCAACAUCCAACGUGCUCAUGCGGUCAGCAUAAGUGGUUAACAUAGGAAUUUGCGGUGAGUGGAUACAGGUAAGUAAUUAUAAAAUUUACUAUUCUAUAAGUAUUCUAAUCUGAAAUUUUCUUUACAGGUAAUAAAUUUUUCAUCAAUGAAAAUACAUUUUGCGUCGUUUGUACGCUUGUGCGUAGGCACAACACUACACAUUGAUUGCUGUCUCAUCAUUCAUACCACAUGUGUAUGUGCGUGUGUGUGCCCGCCAUUGGACUUUACCUGCAUAUGCAUCGACACGCAUUCAUGUCUAAGACGUGCGGUUGGGAUGAGGAAAAUAGGUAAGCAGAUGUUUGUUUAUUUCUUCAAAGAAUACAUUUUAUUUAAUUUAAAACUUUUAUUUCUAUUUCAGCAUACGACCAUGGUGACUUGGUGGAAUACACGACAUCAUCUCCUGAACAACCCAUUAACACAUCAGAGCUAUAAAAUGGACAUCACAUGGAAACUUCUCAACCUGGGUAGGUAGAGCUGGCCCAUUCCAUAUUUCGAAUUGAGGUGCAUAUGCAUAAAUCAGCAAUUCAUAUGUGGACAAGGAAUUUGGAAUGAAAAACAGCUUUUUCAAUUCUGUUACAAACAAACAAUACUCGAGACACUUUAAGGAAUCAAAGGUGUCAUCCAUACCUGACAUGGAACAUAACCACCCUUCAACUACAUCAGCAACAAUUUACGACCAUCUUAAACAAAGGAGAGCACACAUCGCGGUGGAACUUUGAUA